GACGAACGCUGGCGGCGUGCUUAACACAUGCAAGUCGAACGGAAAGGCCCUGCUUUUGUGGGGUGCUCGAGUGGCGAACGGGUGAGUAACACGUGAGUAACCUGCCCUUGACUUUGGGAUAACUUCAGGAAACUGGGGCUAAUACCGGAUAGGAGCUCCUGCUGCAUGGUGGGGGUUGGAAAGUUUCGGCGGUUGGGGAUGGACUCGCGGCUUAUCAGCUUGUUGGUGGGGUAGUGGCUUACCAAGGCUUUGACGGGUAGCCGGCCUGAGAGGGUGACCGGCCCCCCUGGGCCCUGGGAUACGGCCCGGACCCUAACGGGGGCACGAGGUGGGAAAUUUUCAACAAGGGGCGGAGCCAGAGUCAGGAACGGCCGGCGGGGGAAGACCGACUUUGGGGUGUAAACCGCUUUCGCCUGUGACGAAGCGUGAGUGACGGUAAUGGGUAAAGAAGCACCGGCUAACUACGUG
rnacentral:rRNA from 1 species